rnacentral:ncRNA from 1 species
AUAAAAGCUGAGAAGAGAAGAGUAAGUAAGAAUUUUUUCUACAGAGAGCUAGGUUAGGUGGAAGCUAGCGCUAAAAGAAUUACUGAAUAUGGCCUUGGAGCUUUUUAUCCGAAAUAAUUUAGGAUAAAACAUUUAGACAUGUUACAGUCUACUAAGAUAUCUAUUGUGAAAAUAGUUUUUUCAAGCAACGUGAAAAUUUUCAUGAUAAAUAAAUUAGGGUGGUACCGCGAAUAAUCUCGCCCCUAUG